GCACGUAUUGCUUCAUUGAACGGUUGCUCAGUCCUGCGAUGGUGGGGCCGCCACUGAUAGUGCUUAUCAUGUUUAUCUGCCGAUUUGCAUUUGGCACCAGUGCCGGUGGCUGCCGGGCGAUAUACUGGUCCAGCUUCCCCUCCCGGAUCAACCGUUCGACAAUCUUCCUCAGGCUUAUACAGUCUUCCGUAUUAUGGCUGUUGUGCUGAUGGUAUCGGCAAUAUUUACCGG
rnacentral:lncRNA from 1 species